rnacentral:sRNA from 1 species
AUAUUGCCCAAGUUGGAGCCUCCAGCGUAGUAGGAUCCAUGCCUUCCAGUAUGUCAUCUAUGGAACUGCCUCUUUCUUCUUCCUUUAUGGGGCCCUCCUGCUGGCUGAGGGCUUCUACACCACCGGCGCAGUCAGGCAGAUCUUUGGCGACUACAAGACCACCAUCUGCGGCAAGGGCCUGAGCGCAACGUUUGUGGGCAUCACCUAUGCCCUGACCGUUGUGUGGCUCCUGGUGUUUGCCUGCUCUGCUGUGCCUGUGUAUAUUUACUUCAACACCUGGACCACCUGCCAGUCUAUUGCCUUCCCCAGCAAGACCUCUGCCAGUAUAGGCAGUCUCUGUGCUGAUGCCAGAAUGUAUGGUGUUCUCCCAUGGAAUGCUUUCCCUGGCAAGGUUUGUGGCUCCAACCUUCUGUCCAUCUGCAAAACAGCUGAGUUCCAAAUGACCUUCCACCUGUUUAUUGCUGCAUUUGUGGGGGCUGCAGCUACACUGGUUUCCCUGCUCACCUUCAUGAUUGCUGCCACUUACAACUUUGCCGUCCUUAAACUCAUGGGCCGAGGCACCAAGU